AAAUUACUCUUUAUUGGGGUGCCUGAGUGGCUCAGUUGGUUUAGUGUCCGACUCUUGAUCUCAGGUAAGGUCUUGAUCGCAGGGUCGUGAAUUCAAGUCGGACAUUGAGCUCCACACUGGGCAUGAAGCCUACUGAAAAA